AUGGCGGAGCGGCUGCACCCGAUCCCAUUCCGAACUCGGCCGUGAAACGCUCCAGCGCCAAUGGUACUUCGUCUCAAGACGCGGGAGAGUAGGUC
rnacentral:rRNA from 1 species